rnacentral:rRNA from 1 species
GACAGAGGGGGGCAAGCGUUGCUCGGAAUUACUGGGCGUAAAGGGCGCGUAGGCGGGAUGGCAAGUCGGUCGUGAAAUCCCUCGGCUCAACUGAGGAUCGUCGAUCGAUACUGCCGUUCUUGAGGAUUGCAGAGGAGACUGGAAUUCCCGGUGUAGCGGUGAAAUGUGUAGAGAUCGGGAGGAACACCGGUGGCGAAGGCGGGUCUCUGGGCAAUUCCUGACGCUGAGGCGCGAAAGCGUGGGGAGCAAACAGG